rnacentral:hammerhead_ribozyme from 1 species
ACCUUGCUGACGAGUGCAAAAUAGCGCGAAACCCGUGUCCAGGGU